rnacentral:rRNA from 1 species
AUUGAACGCUGGCGGCAGGCCUAACCCAUGCAAGUCGAGCGAGCGGCGGACGGGUGAGUAAUGUAUGGGGACUGCCCGAUAGAGGGGGCUAACUACUGGAAACGGUAGCUAAUACCGAAUACUAUCGGUUAACCCAUAUGGGAUAAGCUAGUAGGUGAUGUAAUGGCUCACCUAGGCGACGAUCCCUAGCUGGUCUGAGAGGAUGAUAAGCUACACUGGAACAUGGAGCCGGCCCAGACUCCAACGAAGGCAGCAGUGGGCAAUAUUGAACGAUGGGCGCAAGCCUGAUGCAGCAAUGCCGCGUGUAUGAAGAAGGCCCUAGGGUUGUAAAGUACUUUCAGUCGGGAGGCGUUACCGACAGAAGAAGCACCGGCUAACUCCGUGCCAGCCGCCGCGGUAAUAC